UCUGCUUACAAGGUGAUAACGUGCAGGAAC
rnacentral:piRNA from 2 species